CCUCACGAGGAAAACUUCACUUCCCAGUUAACAAAGUAGAACGCCUACUUCGAGAAAGGAACACCUCCAAAUGCCCUAACUCCUCUGCACCCGUUUUUCUUGCCGGUGUUCUUGAAUAUUUGACCUCAAAUAUUCUUGACCUGGCUGGCAAGGAGGCCCACAACAGUGGCAGUAAGCUUAUUAGCCCUGAGCAUGUGACCAUGGCCAUUCGAAAGAAUGAAGGAUUCCACCAACUCCUAAAAGAUAACAAAUGGUUGGCUGGUGAGAUACCAGGACCCAGCGGGACAUCAGCACUUAAUAAAAGAUCUGCACUCAAGAGACCAACACCUGAUGAGAUAACAGAACCUGAUGAGACACCAGCACCCUCUGGGACACCAGCACCUGAUAAGAAGUGAAGAUAAUUGCAUUUCAGAGACUGGAAAGCCAUCAAGUCUCAAAUCAGCCUCAAUGUCUCCCUUAUUGGUGGAGGUGGGGCUUACUCAGACAUUGUAUUAAAGUGUCUAAAGCA
rnacentral:lncRNA from 1 species